GACGAACGCUGGCGGCGUGCCUAGUACAUGCAAGUAGAACGCACAGUUUAUACCGUAGCUUGCUACACCAUAGACUGUGAGUUGCGAACGGGUGAGUAACGCGUAGGUAACCUGCCUGGUAGCGGGGGAUAACUAUUGGAAACGAUAGCUAAUACCGCAUAAUAUUAAUUAUUGCAUGAUAAUUAAUUGAAAGGUGCAAUUGCACCACUACCAGAUGGACCUGCGUUGUAUUAGCUAGUAGGUGAGGUAACGGCUCACCUAGGCGACGAUACAUAGCCGACCUGAGAGGGUGAUCGGCCACACUGGGACUGAGACCCGGCCCAGACUCCUACGGGAGGCAGCAGUAGGGAAUCUUCGGCAAUGGACGAAAGUCUGACCGAGCAACGCCGCGUGAGUGAAGAAGGUUUUCGGAUCGUAAAGCUCUGUUGUAAGAGAAGAACGGGUGUGAGAGUGGAAAGUUCACACUGUGACGGUAUCUUACCAGAAAGGGACGGCUAACUACGUG
rnacentral:rRNA from 1 species